GGCAGUGGUGGGUGCUUUAUUUCCAUGCUGGGUGCCUGGGAAGUAUGUAGACGGGGUACGUGCCAAGCAUCCUCGUGCGACCGCGAGAGCCCGGGGAGCGGGGGCUUGCCGGCCGUCGCACUCAUUUACCCCGGGGACAGGGAGAGGCUCUUCUGCGUGUAGUGUGGUUGUGCAGAGCCUCAUGCAUCACGGAGCAUGAGAAGACGUUCCCCUGCUGCCACCUGCUCUUGUCCACGGUGAGCUUGCUGUAGAGGAAGAAGGAGCCGUCGGAGUCCAGCACGGGAGGCGUGGUCUUGUAGUUGUUCUCCGGCUGCCCAUUGCUCUCCCACUCCACGGCGAUGUCGCUGGGAUAGAAGCCUUUGACCAGGCAGGUCAGGCUGACCUGGUUCUUGGUCAGCUCAUCCCGGGAUGGGGGCAGGGUGUACACCUGUGGUUCUCGGGGCUGCC
rnacentral:lncRNA from 1 species